AAUAAAUAAUAUAAGAGCAUUUGGUGGAUGCCUUGGCGUUAGAAGGCGACGAAGGACGUGAUACACUGCGAUAAGCUCCGGGGAGUUGUGAAUAAACUUUGAUCCGGAGAUUUCCGAAUGGGGGAACCCACCUGAUUUAUCAGGUAUCGUAUAGUGAAUACAUAGCUAUAUGAAGCGAACUCAGUGAACUGAAAUAUCUCAUUAGCUGAAGGAAAGGACAUCAACAGAGACUCCGCUAGUAGUGACGAGCGAACGCGGACCAGGCAAGUAGCUUUUUAAAACAAACUAGAACAACAUGGAAAGGUUGGCAAUAAUGGGUGAUAGCCCCGUAUAGGUAAGGUUUUUUAAAGUUCUAGAGUAGGGCGGGACACGUGAAAUCCUGUCUGAAUAUGGGGGGACCACCCUCCAAGCCUAAGUACUCUCUAACGACCGAUAGUGAACAAGUACCGUGAGGGAAAGGUGAAAAGAACCCCGAUUAGGGGAGUGAAAUAGACACUGAAACCGAAUGCUUACAAGCAGUAGGAGCAGAAGCUUGCUUCUGUGACUGCGUACCUUUUGUAUAAUGGGUCAGCGACUUAGUUUAUCGAGCGAGCUUAAGCCGUUAGGUGUAGGCGUAGCGAAAGCGAGUCUGAAUAGGGCGCACAUAGUUCGAUGAAUUAGACCCGAAACCGAGUGAUCUAGCCAUGGCCAGGUUGAAGGUGGAGUAACAUCUACUGAAGGACCGAACCCACUAAUGUUGAAAAAUUAGGGGAUGAGCUGUGGUUAGGGGUGAAAGGCCAAUCAAACU
rnacentral:rRNA from 1 species